AUUAAACGCUGGCGGCAUGCCUUACACAUGCAAGUCGAACGGUAGCGCGGGGCAACCUGGCGACGAGUGGCGAACGGGUGAGUAAAGCAUCGGAACGUGCCCUGGAAUGGGGGAUAACGUAGCGAAAGUUACGCUAAUACCGCAUAUUCUGUGAGCAGGAAAGCAGGGGAUCGCAAGACCUUGCGUUCUGGGAGCGGCCGAUGUCGGAUUAGCUAGUUGGUGGGGUAAAAGCCUACCAAGGCGACGAUCCGUAGCGGGUCUGAGAGGAUGAUCCGCCACACUGGGACUGAGACACGGCCCAGACUCCUACGGGAGGCAGCAGUGGGGAAUUUUGGACAAUGGGCGGAAGCCUGAUCCAGCCAUGCCGCGUGAGUGAAGAAGGCCUUCGGUUGUAAAGACUCUUUCGGUUCGGGGUAAGGAAAGUUAGU
rnacentral:rRNA from 1 species